UAGGACGCCGCGCAGGAAGCGCACUGAAAAACAUGGAUGCAGUGGAUUCUCCGCCAGGAUGGCGGUUGAUCAGGGAUGUCAGGGAAACAAGUCUGCAGAAACCCCGCUUCGGCGGGGUUUU
rfam:Pseudomonas sp. FeS53a scaffold24.1, whole genome shotgun sequence.